UAGAACAUCUUUCGGAUAACGUAUCUAAGCAAUAAAAAUCUGGUUCUUUGCCAAUUUGCAUCCGACUAAUGUAAUUCAUGCUCAGUCUGGAUCUCCAAGCGAUCCCAAGACAAUUGGUGGAUUGAUAACAAAACUAUUUAAAAGGACACGGCUACUCUGGAGAGAAAAUAUUUUUUCCUCAUUCAACAAAUCAAUGCUUACUCCCAACAACGUUAAACAGAAACAGAAGUUGAUUCGGUGCUACAGAAGGAAGUGGAUCAGUUAGGAUAAAGCGAAUUACACUUUAUGAAUCAUUCCGCUAAAGCCAGGAGGAAACAGAAGAGGAUGGUUCCACUCCAGCGAAAAUUGGGAAAGAUCAAUCUUUUCAUAAAUUUUAUUAUUAUUAUUAUUUCCUUUUUUUUUUAAAUAGUUCGAAAACCAAUUUAACUUCGAUAGAGAUCGUGUAAGCGUGUUUAAAGAAUGAGAAAGAGAAAAUAAGUGGUCUUAAUGCUGUCGUCGGAUCUAAAUCAGGCUUGAAUACCAAGCGAGCGUGAAAAUGUCUUUUGUUCUCAUAGAGAACCGUAGAGUAGUUUGAAAAUUUCCAAACCAGCUUUGUUUUAUUCAUACAAAAGGGCGUGCACGAUGUACGUGGUUAGAAUUGGCCAUUUCUCUCAGUAAAUUGGCAACAUCAAACUACUUCUCGGUUCACUCUAACACGUGCGUGAUAGGCUUCCCUAAAAUUCGUGGUCGUCGUUAAAUGCGAGUACCGCUACCUCCUUUUCAUUGCUCGUAUCCUUUAAAAAGAUAAAGGGAAAGAGAAAAAAAAACAAUCUUUCUAAAUAUAAAAAUUUGUGUCCUCACUUUUUUCAUUGUUGGUUGAGGAUUUUGAGAUUUAUGGAAGCUGAAGAAAAAGAGGGAGAAAAAUGAGAAAAAGAAUUAAUUUUCUUUCAUAAAAUUGAAUUAUACUUGUCGGCCAUCUUGUAAAAAUUCCACUUUUCCAAAUUCGGAUCUCGUAUUUAUUAAUGAGGGUGGUGUAGUCCGUAAUUAUUAUUAAGAGAACUCUCCGCUACAUCUAACAGAUUUAUAGGGUGCAUAGAGUAAUUCAAUGAAUAUUCAUAAAGAGAACACUACUCUUUCCAGAACGUUUCUAAAAUUUCAAUAUAAAGAGGAAGCGAAGGGAGAAAAAUAAUAAAAAAAAAAGUAUAGAAUAAAAGUAUGUGUCUAUCGGAAAAUUGUUGAUAGGAAAAUUUGAAACGGAUCCAAAAUAAUUGGCGAUUAAGAUUAGGAGCUGUCUAUAAUUACGCGAAUAGCAGAUACAAUGUAUGUUAAGUAAUUAUAUUUUUUUCUUUUUUUUUUGGGAAAAGGAAAUUUUGAUUGUGACGUACAGUACGUUGAGCCAUUUCCUAAUGAGAUUUCGAUUCUAGAAAACAUAAAAAGCAAGGCUAAAUAAGAAAGGAAAAAUCCCGACAAUGAAAAUGGAUUCAAAUAAAUUAGCUAAAGUCUCACUCUUCUUGCAAAAGACAAAUAAAAUUAGUCAGAAGAAUUUAAGAGGAUAAUAAACUAUUAUUUGCAAUUGAAACAGUUUUGUUGGAAUCUAUUUAAAGAUACAAAAUCGCAGCGACCAUUAGUAUACAUUACGUCCAUUUGAAGAAGAGCAAUUUAAAGAAACAUCUCUCGACGUGGCAUCUUGCAAACCAAACGUUGCACGUUUUAAAACUUUUGUACACCGGAAUUAUUCAUCUAAACAGGGGCCGCAAUAAUUUCAUAGAGUAAUAACACUCCGUAAUCACAGAUUACAAAGCAGAGCAAAAUGGCUUUUUAUUACAAGUGCCAUACUAUAAUCCUAAAUACUGCUUUAUCUCAGUCGGCGAAAAUGUUGGAAUGUUUCCAGAAAUAAAAUUACACAGAUUUUAACAACCGCACGACCGUCCCUUUUAAAAGCUAGGCAUUAUUACUAAGUGGAUGGUAAUUAUUAACAAUACUUCGUCAUCUAACACGAUCUGGUAUUAAACUUAAUUGUAUAAUACGGUGUUAGUGCUGCAAGAACCUUUUCUUUCGCCCAUUUAAAUUAACCUCUCGAAUUUUAUUUAUAUCUAUAUAUAUAUAUAGAGCCUAUAUAUGUAAGAGAUUGUGAGAGAAUACCGAUCCAUUUUCUGUCAAUCACGAUAAAAACUCGGAAUUCUGCAAAUGUCCCUGUGAGUUGUUGUCUAAUAGCUAAUUUAUCAGAACAAAUGCGUUCAUUAACGACCUGCCUUUUUAUCCCCCCUCUUAGUUUUUUAAGUAUUCUCUCUCUCUCUCUCUCUCGCAAGGCUCACUCUAUUUAAAUAGAAAAACCCUAAUUAAUUAUCUUAUUCAAUUAGCUUGUUGUUUUGAAAUGAGCUUCGAUGUUGAAGAUGACCCUUUACCAAGGGGAAAUAAAGAGAAAUUAAAAAAAAUCGACCUCGUUUGUUUUAAUUCCCUGACUGCUAAGAUGAAAUAAAGAAAAUCAUUUUCUUUCUUUCUAGCUUAUUUUCUUGGGUGUUUAAGUCUAUUGUA